GCCUGGGUGGCUCAGUCGGUUGAGUGUCUGACUUCGGCUCAGGUCAUGAUCUCACAGUUCGUGAGUUCGAGCCCCACGUCAGGCU
rnacentral:tRNA from 1 species